CAUACACACACAAUUGUCAAUACCAUGUUUAGGAGAUAAAACAUUCGCUAUGGGCAUGACUGUAACCAAUAUCAAUUGUCGUGAGCGUCUACUAGAGUCAGUUAAAUGUUAGCUAUAGGUGCAAAUAGAAGCCGGAUACAUCACUGCUAGAGACGAUUAUAAUAACUGGACAAAAGAAAGGACAGAUUAUUAUCUCAAUUAAAAUGAAAUCUGCAACACUUCUUCUACUGUCGUGCCUUACUUUGGUAUACUCAUUCAGACUUGAUGGAAAUCCACUGUAUGAAAUCAGCUGCAUGAAGCAAUGUGGGUCAUAUUUCAGCACAUGCUACAAGAAUUGUUUUUCUAAUGAACCGGAAACGGAAGCUACGUAUGUUAAACGUAAUCGCGCAUGCUUAGACGGAUGUAUAAUUAGACUUACCACGUGCCACCACUACUGUUCAAGAUGAAAAGAAAAAAACUUGCAAUCAAAGUGAACGCAGCAAGUCAUACAACCUAUAAGAUAUUUGUAUCAUUUUGGAAUGGAAUAAAGUAUAUCGAUAUAAGUUUGAAUUAUUCUAUUUUUAAUCUAAAAUGUACAUGGAUAAUACAUGUGUUGUAAAACGCUCAAUAAAUAUAUUUGAUUAAA